CAGUAGCCGCGGUAAUACGAAGGGUGCAAGCGUUAAUCGGAAUUACUGGGCGUAAAGCGUGCGUAGGCGGUGAGUUAAGUCUGCUGUGAAAUCCCCGGGCUCAACCUGGGAAUGGCAGUGGAUACUGGGUCACUAGAGUGUGGUAGAGGAUAGUGGAAUUUCCGGUGUAGCGGUGAAAUGCGUAGAGAUCGGGAGGAACAUCAGUGGCGAAGGCGGCCAUCUGGGACAACACUGACGCUGAGGCACGAAAGCGUGGGGAGCAAACAGGAUUAGAUACCCCCGUAGUCCCUGUCUCUUAUAC
rnacentral:rRNA from 1 species